UACGGAGGGUGCAAGCGUUGUCCGGAUUUAUUGGGUUUAAAGGGUGCGUAGGCGGCCCGUUAAGUCAGUGGUGAAAGCCUCCAGCUCAACUGGAGAACUGCCAUUGAUACUGACGGGCUUGAGUACAGACGAGGUUGGCGGAAUUGAUUGUGUAGCGGUGAAAUGCGCAGAUAUCAGGAGGAACACCGAUGGCGAAGGCAGCUCGCUGGGACGGUACUGACGCUGAGACGCGAAAGCGUGGGGAGCGAACAGG
rnacentral:rRNA from 1 species